AACUUUCAGCAACGGAUCUCUUGGCUCUCGCAUCGAUGAAGAACGCAGCGAAAUGCGAUAAGUAAUGUGAAUUGCAGAACUCAGUGAAUCAUCGAAUCUUUGAACGCACCUUACGCUCCUUGGUAUUCCGAGGCGCAUGCCUGUUUGAGUGUCAUUACAUUCUCAUCCCUAUCAGCUUUUGCUGAUAGUGGCUUGGAUGUGGGGGUUUUCUCGUGCUGGCUUCUUUAUCGAGGUCAGCUCCCCUUAAAUGCAUUAGCUGGUGCCCCGUGUGGACUGUCUAUUGGUGUGAUAAUUAUCUACGCCGUGGAUGUCUGCAAUCAUAUGGGUUUUGCACUGCUUCUAACUGUCUGUUCAUUCGGACAAUAUAUGACAAUUUGACCUCAAAUCAGGUAGGACUACCCGCUGAACUUAAGCAUAUCAAUAAGCGGAGGCU
rnacentral:misc_RNA from 1 species